rnacentral:rRNA from 1 species
GUCUACAGCCAUACUACCUUGAAUGUGCCAUCUCGUCUGAUCUCAAAAGCUAAGCAGGAUCAGGCCUGGUUAGUACUUGAAUGGGAGAAGUGAAAU